ensembl:snRNA U6 U6 spliceosomal RNA
GUGCUUGCCUCAGCAGUACAUAUACCAAAACCGCAACAAUACAAAAAAGAUUAGCAAGGUCUCUGCACAAGAAUGACACACAAAUUCAUCAAGUAUUCCACAUUUUU